GCUUACGGCCAUACCACCCUGAACACGCCCGAUCUCUCAGAUCUCGAAGCUAAGCAGGGUCGGCCUGGUUAGUACUUGGAUGGAGACCGCCUGGAAUACCAGGUGCUGUAAGCU
rnacentral:rRNA from 1 species